GAUGAACGCUGGCGGCGUGCCUAAUACAUGCAAGUCGAGCGAACGGACGAGAAGCUUUCUUCUCUGAUGUUAGCGGCGGACGGGUGAGUAACACAUGGAUAACCUACCUAUAAGACUGGGAUAACUUCGGGAAACCGGAGCUAAUACCGGAUAAUAUUUUGAACCGCAUGGUUCAAAAGUGAAAGACGGUCUUGCUGUCACUUAUAGAUGGAUCCGCGCUGCAUUAGCUAGUUGGUAAGGUAACGGCUUACCAAGGCAACGAUGCGUAGCCGACCUGAGAGGGUGAUCGGCCACACUGGAACUGAGACACGGUCCAGACUCCUACGGGAGGCAGCAGUAGGGAAUCUUCCGCAAUGGGCGCAAGCCUGACGGAGCAACGCCGCGUGAGUGAUGAAGGUCUUCGGAUCGUAAAACUCUGUUAUUAGGGAAGAACAUCUGUGUAAGUAACUGUGCACAUCUUAACGGUACCUAAUCAGAAAGCCACGGCUAACUACGUG
rnacentral:rRNA from 1 species